UAUGUGUAUAUGUAUAUAUGUAUAUAUGUGUAUGUAUAUGUAUAUGUAUAUAUAUAUAUAUAUGUAUAUCUAUGUAUAUAUAUAUAUACACGUGUGUAUAUGUGUGCCUGUAUAUAUAUGCAUGUGUGUGUCUAUAUGUGUGUGUGUAUGUCUGUAUGUAUGUAUGCAUAUAUGUGUGUGUCGGUCUAUUUGUUUGUAUGUAUAUAUGUAUGUGUAUGUAUAUAUAUAUAUUGUUAGACGUAUGCCCUAGAGGUCAGAUUGACUGAUACAUAUACACAUUCUAAAGAUAUAAUUUUAUAAUUAAAUUUUGAAAUAAAUAAAAUUUUGAUUAUUUUUUAUUGAUGUUGUAUUUUAAUUGUGUUCAUGAAUCAUCCGAAGAAUUGACGAAUAAUAACACAUAUUCUCAAGAGUUGAAAAUUUGAGACAUGUCAUUCCUAAAUACUCCCGAUCGAUAAAUCGCCAUGGGAACGAUGAAUGAUCCGGAUAGAUCGAUGCAUAAAUUACUUCCUUUCCUGGGUAGAUGAGUCUCGAGUCGAUAAUAUGGGGAUACUGGAGCGAGAGUGCAGAUGCUUGAUAGAGAUCAAGGAUACUAAGCAUAACCAACAUGAGAAAUUACUAAGAUGGCUACCCACUCAUUAGUGACUUACUCAAAGUUACAAUGGCGUAGAUAGUUCUUUGACCUGUGGUGCCUCGACUGUUUACAGUGGGGUUACUGUAGUUUGACUGCACAAUCACUUGGUCACCUAGCCCUUCAGAACCUUGUAGUGUAUAUUGGCUACAGUAGAUCCAUUGUAGUCAUAGGGUAAGCACCUAAAAGGGAUCUAUCGAUCUUGAUAGAUAGAGAGAGGUCCUAUACAAUUUAUGAGACUGAGUCUUAAAAUCUAUGGCCAUGGUAGAUGAAUAAUAGAAAGGAGUUUCCAUAUGAUUUCAUGUGGACUCGAGUUGAUUGAAUCUGACAUAUGAUUGACCACCCGAUUUGAUGAGUUUUUCUUGAUCUGCAUCUUGUCGGAAUCAAUAACAGAAAAAUUAAACUAUAUGAUAACUGCACCUAGAAGUUCGAUACUUUUAUUUUGCUGGAUUAUCAUUAUGUACUGCUAAGUGUGAUGGAUGGAUUGUGGGACUCGUCGAGCAUCAUCUUAAUGAUUGAUGACCCUCGAAGACAAAAUUGAAAUAAUUUCAAUCCAUCAAAAAGAGUUUCGACUGAUAUUGUGAUAG
rnacentral:lncRNA from 1 species